rnacentral:rRNA from 1 species
UACAGAGGUGGCAAGCGUUGUUCGGAAUUACUGGGCGUAAAGGGCGCGUAGGCGGCCCUCUUAGUCGGACGUGAAAUCCCCAGGCUUAACUUGGGAACUGCGUCCGAUACUGGAGGGCUUGAGUGCGGGAGAGGGAUGUGGAAUUCCCGGUGUAGUGGUGAAAUGCGUAGAGAUCGGGAGGAACACCUGUGGCGAAGGCGGCCGACUGGGCCGACCCUGACGCUGAGGCGCGAAGGCGUGGGGAGCGAACGGG